rnacentral:other from 1 species
GUGUCUCCGGGAUGUUGGCGAGUCGGUUUUCGUCCCGUACCGUUAGAAGAAACUUAGGAGACUUCGGUGAAUUGUUGGUGUGCAGGCCGGAUACGUCCGGAAGCCUAAUGCACUUCCUGGGUCACCGCCUUGAACCACUACGGUUCAGGGUCUGACCACUCACUACAUCCCGGAAGUCCU